AUAAAAGGAAAUUAAGUUAGUUAAGCCAGACUUUCCCUUCACAGACCUGUGCUGGCUAUGACCAAUGACUGUGUUGUCUGUCAAGUGUUUUUCAAUAACUCCCAGAAUAACCUUCUCUAUAAUUUUACCAGUUACUGAAAUGAGACUUGAUAGGCCUGUAAUUACCAGGGUCUCUCUUCUUACUCUUCUUGAAAACUUGGGACAAUAUUUGCCAUGCUUCCAGUUGACUGGGACCUCUCCAGGCUGCCAAGACUGUUGAAGAAUAAUGGAGAGAGCUCCUGCGAUGACAUCAGCCAGCACUUUCAGGACCCUAGGAUGAAUCUUAUUGGGCCCCAUAGAUUUUUGCACAUCCAGCUGGAGCAGCAGGUCUUGAACAAGUUCAGAGUGGGCUGGGAGUUUAUCAUUCCCCCAGUGACAGCCUUCCAGCACAGAGCUUUGGAGGUCCCAAGACCUAUCACUGGUGUUAAAGACAGUGGUGUCCUUCACAGCUUGAACUCUAAUUGAGCUUUGGCCAUGCAAAUUUUCUCCCUGCAGUGGCAAACAGCAUCUCCGUAGUGCUCCCAUGUCCCCCUGUUCUCUUCUACUCUAUGCUGUUCACUCUUCAGGUGGUGCUUAUCAAGGACUGCUAGAAUUCAAAAUGGAAUGGAACAGCAGAACAAAA